CUACGGGUUGCUCCAGUGAGGAAUAUUGCACAAUGGGGGAAACCCUGACGCAGCAACGCCGCGUGGAGGAUGACGCAUUUCGGUGUGUAAACUCCUUUUAUAUGUCAAGAAAAUGACGGUAGCAUAUGAAUAAGCACCGGCUAACUCCGUGCCAGCAGCCGCGGUAAUACGGAGGGUGCAAGCGUUACUCGGAAUCACUGGGCGUAAAGGACGCGUAGGCGGGUUGUCAAGUCAGGUGUGAAAUCCUACAGCUUAACUGUAGAACUGCACUUGAAACUGGCAGCCUAGAGUAUGGGAGGGGGAGAUGGAUUUAGUAGUGUAGGGGUAAAAUCCGUAGAUAUUACUAGGAAUAUCAAAAGCGAAGGCGAUCUCCUGGAACAUUACUGACGCUAAGGCGUGAAAGCGUGGGGAGCAAACAGGAUUAGAUACCCCUGUAGUC
rnacentral:rRNA from 1 species